rnacentral:rRNA from 1 species
GGAAAAGAAACCAACAGGGAUUGCCUUAGUAACGGCGAGUGAAGCGGCAAAAGCUCAAAUUUGAAAUCUGGCACCUUCGGUGUCCGAGUUGUAAUUUGAAGAAGGUAACUUUGGAGUUGGCUCUUGUCUAUGUUCCUUGGAACAGGACGUCACAGAGGGUGAGAAUCCCGUGCGAUGAGAUGCCCAAUUCUAUGUAAAGUGCUUUCGAAGAGUCGAGUUGUUUGGGAAUGCAGCUCUAAGUGGGUGGUAAAUUCCAUCUAAAGCUAAAUAUUGGCGAGAGACCGAUAGCGAACAAGUACAGUGAUGGAAAGAUGAAAAGAACUUUGAAAAGAGAGUGAAAAAGUACGUGAAAUUGUUGAAAGGGAAGGGCUUGAGAUCAGACUUGGUAUUUUGCGAUCCUUUCCUUCUUGGUUGGGUUCCUCGCAGCUUACUGGGCCAGCAUCGGUUUGGAUGGUAGGAUAAUGACUAAGGAAUGUGGCUCUACUUCGGUGGAGUGUUAUAGCCUUGGUUGAUACUGCCUGUCUAGACCGAGGACUGCGUCUUUUGACUAGGAUGUUGGCAUAAUGAUCUUAAGCCACC